UAGAGUUUGAUCAUGGCUCAGGAUGAACGCUGGCGGCGUGCCUAACACAUGCAAGUCGAACGGAGUUUAUAACAUGAAGUUUUCGGAUGGAUUGAUAUAAACUUAGUGGCGGACGGGUGAGUAACGCGUGGGUAACCUGCCUCAUACAGGGGGAUAACAGCCGGAAACGGCUGCUAAAACCGCAUAACAUUACGCAGUCGCAUGACAGUGUAAUCAAAUAUUAUAUAGGUAUGAGAUGGGCCCGCGUCUGAUUAGCUAGUUGGUGAGGUAAUGGCUCACCAAGGCGACGAUCAGUAGCCGGCUUGAGAGAGUGACCGGCCACAUUGGGACUGAGACACGGCCCAAACUCCUACGGGAGGCAGCAGUGGGGAAUAUUGCACAAUGGGGGAAACCCUGAUGCAGCGACGCCGCGUGAGUGAAGAAGUAUUUCGGUAUGUAAAGCUCUAUCAGCAGGGAAGAAAAUGACGGUACCUGACUAAGAAGCCCCGGCUAACUACGUGCCAGCAGCUGCGGUAAUACGUAGGGGGCAAGCGUUAUCCGGAUUUACUGGGUGUAAAGGGAGCGUAGGUGGUUCGGCAAGUCAGAUGUGAAAGCCCGGGGCUCAACCCCGGGACUGCAUUUGAAACUGUCGUACUAGAGUGCAGGAGAGGUAAGUGGAAUUCCUAGUGUAGCGGUGAAAUGCGUAGAUAUUAGGAGGAACACCAGUGGCGAAGGCGGCUUACUGGACUGUAACUGACACUGAGGCUCGAAAGCGUGGGGAGCAAACAGGAUUAGAUACCCUGGUAGUCCACGCGGUAAACGAUGAAUACUAGGUGUUGGGGGUCAAAAGACCUUCGGUGCCGGCGCAAACGCAUUAAGUAUUCCACCUGGGGAGUACGUUCGCAAGAAUGAAACUCAAAGGAAUUGACGGGGACCCGCACAAGCGGUGGAGCAUGUGGUUUAAU
rnacentral:rRNA from 1 species